AAAAAUGCUGAAGGGAAAUGGUUGAAUUGAUAGUACAAGAGGAUUUCAACACUAUUGACCGGAAGAGAAGCCAGUGAAAGUAGUGUAAUUCAGAUUUCUGUGCAGUGAAGUGCUUGUGGAGAAGAUAUUGUUAGUGAAGGAAAAUUUAAGACGUUCGAAUUGAAGAGUGACUAAAUCUUAGAAGAUAGACAAAGGAUGAUAUAGAUUAUAUAGUCUUAUGCAAAGAGGAGGCUUUGGAGUGAUUUAUAAUAGAAGAAAAGUAAGAAGUGAAGGUUUGGAAGAAGCAAACCAUCAAGAAGGUAAGUAAUGCAAAUUAAAGUUUUAAAUGUAAUUCUUUUUAAUUUUACAUUGUAUAUUGGUAUUUGAAUGAAUGCAAGAGAAAUAUGCAUUACAAGAAAUUCUCUGACUAAAGGAUGUUCCUAACUUAGUUUCCAUAUACUAUAGGUAUUGUUGUGGCAAAUCUUAAAAUAAAUUUGGCAUAUGAUACUUUGAUUUGUGGAUCCUCCUCCUCUACUAUUGG